CCUACGGGGGGCAGCAGUGGGGAAUAUUGGGCAAUGGGCGCAAGCCUGACCCAGCAACGCCGCGUGAAGGAAGAAGGCUUUCGGGUUGUAAACUUCUUUUCUCAGGGACGAAGCAAGUGACGGUACCUGAGGAAUAAGCCACGGCUAACUACGUGCCAGCAGCCGCGGUAAUACGUAGGUGGCAAGCGUUAUCCGGAUUUACUGGGGGUAAAGGGCGUGUAGGCGGGGACGCAAGUCAGAUGUGAAAACCACGGGCUCAACCUGUGGCCUGCAUUUGAAACUGUGUUUCUUGAGUACUGGAGAGGCAGGCGGAAUUCCUGGUGUAGCGGUGAAAUGCGUAGAUAUAAGGAGGAACACCAGUGGCGAAGGCGGUCUGCUGGCCAGCAACUGACGCUGAGGCGCGAAAGCGUGGGGAGCAAACAGGAUUAGAUACCCUUGUAGUC
rnacentral:rRNA from 1 species